rnacentral:tRNA from 1 species
GCCCCCAUCGUAUAGCCUGGACAGUACAUGAGAUUGCGGAUCUCAAAACCGGGGUUCAAAUCCUCGUGGGGGCG